UAAAACUUGCCUCACUGUUGGAAUUCUGACAUAUGCAAAAUGUCUUCCUGCUGAAGAAAAUCGGUAAUAGUCUUACGAUUGUGUCUGAAUAUUUGCGGUCUGUAUGUGCUCUGUGAAAGCUUAUGAGAAUCCUCAGAAGACCACAGCAAUUUGCAGUGGAAAUGUUGAAGCUCUCUCAUCCCAAAUCAAUAUACGUUUGUUUUACAUUGGCAGAUGAUUUGUAGAAACGGUGUUGUGCCAAUAAACGAUUAUGUCGGCUACAAAUUAUCAGCUACUGGAGACCGACAAGUUUUCCAGCAAUGGCCAACAGAACAUAAAAUUGCUGGUGUACCUCAGGGAUCUAAUUUUAAUUCCUGAUCCUCUGGAAAAAGAAGAUGCACAAGUGUGUAGCCACCGAGAAGGAACACAAUCUGACCACUAUGCAGAAGACCCCGAUAAACCCCCGCUUAAUCUCGGAAGGAGGCACAAUUCUCAGUUUCGUUAGUUUCAGUUUUUAUUGUUUUAAUCCAAUCAUGACGGAAAAACCGAUUAUGAGGAAAUUCUGUGAAUUCAAUCGUGGUGUGGAUUUAGACCAACAACCAGAUAUUGAAGCUGAAGCACAACCUGCUCAUGAAGUGACAAUCGAUGUAUUAUGUUUGAUCAGCACAGCAAGUUGCUGGUUCUUAUCGAGAGGUUCCCAAGGGUUUAGCAGGAUGCUCCAGCAAACGAGAAGUGGAUGAGUCUAUUGUGAACAUUUGAAACCGCAGCCAACCACGUUCAAAUCUAACUUGAGGUUAUCGGCUUCAAUUCUUUAGAGCUCACUUCUCCCGAGAUGGGUGCAACUACUGAUAAAUAUUAAUCAUCUUUUAAAGCAUUUGACUGUUAAAGAACGCAAAUAUAGUUUGAGAGAAAAAAUGUUUUUCUAUAUGGAA